rnacentral:rRNA from 1 species
GAUGAACGCUGGCGGCGUGCCUAAUAAAUGCAAGUCGAGCGAACGGACGAGAAGCUUGCUUCUCUGAUGUUAGCGGCGGACGGGUGAGUAACACGUGGAUAACCUACCUAUAAGACUGGGAUAACUUCGGGAAACCGUAGCUAAUACCGGAUAAUAUUUUGAACCGCAUGGUUCAAAAGUGAAAGACGGUCUUGCUGUCACUUAUAGAUGGAUCCGCGCUGCAUUAGCUAGUUGGUAAGGUAACGGCUUACCAAGGCAACGAUGCAUAGCCGACCUGAGAGGGUGAUCGGCCACACUGGAACUGAGACACGGUCCAGACUCCUACGGGAGGCAGCAGUAGGGAAUCUUCCGCAAUGGGCGAAAGCCUGACGGAGCAACGCCGCGUGAGUGAUGAAGGUCUUCGGAUCGUAAAACUCUGUUAUUAGGGAAGAACAUAUGUGUAAGUAACUGUGCACAUCUUGACGGUACCUAAUCAGAAAGCCACGGCUAACUACGUG